UGGGGAAUAUUGCACAAUGGGCGCAAGCCUGAUGCAGCCAUGCCGCGUGUGUGAAGAAGCCUUCGGGUUGUAAAGCACUUUCAGCGAGGGAGGAAGGUGGUGGACUUAAUACGUUCAUCAAUUGAGUUACUCGCAGAAGAAGCACCGGCUAACUCCGUGCCAGCAGCCGCGGUAAUACGGAGGGUGCAAGCNUUAAUCGGAAUUACUGGGCGUAAAGCGCACGCAGGCGGUUUGUUAAGUCAGAUGUGAAAUCCCCCGGGCUCAACCUGGGAACUGCAUUUGAAACUGGCAAGCUAGAGUCUCGUAGAGGGGGGUAGAAUUCCAGGUGUAGCGGUGAAAUGCGUAGAGAUCUGGAGGAAUACCGGUGGCGAAGGCGGCCCCCCUGGACGAAGACUGACGCUCAGGUGCGAAAGCGUGGGGAGCAAACAGGAUUAGAUA
rnacentral:rRNA from 1 species